rnacentral:rRNA from 1 species
CUAUUAUUGGGAGGGCAAGUUUGGUGCCAGCAGCCGCGGUAAUUCCAGCUCCAAAAGCGUAUAUUAAAGUUGUUGCAGUUAAAAAGCUCGUAGUUGAACCUUGGGCUUGGUUGGCCGGUCCAUCUUUCUGAUGCGUACUGGACCCAACCGAGCCUUUCCUUCUGGCUAGCCUUUUGGCGAACCAGGACUUUUACUUUGAAAAAAUUAGAGUGUUCAAAGCAGGCCUUUGCUCGAAUAUAUUAGCAUGGAAUAAUAGAAUAGGACGUUAUGGUUCUAUUUUGUUGGUUUCUAGGACCAUCGUAAUGAUUAAUAGGGACGGUCGGGGGUAUCAGUAUUCAGUUGUCAGAGGUGAAAUUCUUGGAUUUACUGAAGACUAACUACUGCGAAAGCAUUUACCAAGGACGUUUUCAUUAAUCAAGAACGAAAGUUAGGGGAUCGAAGAUGAUCUAGAUAACCAUACGCCGAAAUCAGUGG